UUCCCAAAGCUCAGGAAGGUGCUCAGUUGGGGAGGGGCUUGGACUCCACCCCUCAGAACCAGCAUUUCAGCCAACUAUUUACAUUAUAUUCUGUGAGAGAAACACAUACUUUCUCCUUGUUUUCACACAAUGGUUUGACACAGGUUGUUUUUUUUUUUUUUGAUGAACAAUUCUAACGCCAUGCAAUUUCCCCCCUUUUCUGCAGAGCCCUUCUCAUUAAAUUUUUGAGUUUUCUGUAUGGAGGGGCUUUGGAAGCGGAGGACAUGCAUUCCAUUCCCAGCUUCUCUGCUCUCAGUUCUCAGCUCAAGGUAUAUCUUCUGGAGAUUUCCCACGUCCUCCCUCUCCUCCAGGAAAAGAUGUCAGUAUGCAACUCUGUUUUAAUUCUCCUGAGUCUGCUGGGAGGCUUAUUUGUUUCAUGGUCCACACCACUGGGACUAUCGGAAGAGAGAAACAUAAAAAAGAGAGCGAGGCAGCUGAUCUCAUAGAGAGCUACCACUCCUAUCCAGUUUGAAGAGGCUCUAUAUCAUGAUCUCUCGAACUAAUUAAGGUUCGUGGGCAGGCCACAGGUUGCUACAGAGGAACUUUCCUGAAGGCUGAUAUUUAUGAGGAUUUUUUUUUUUUUUGCUGCUGUAGCU